CGCUCCGCUCCGGUUAAAACAGACGUUGGGUCUCUUUAGCCGCUUUCGUAUCAUGCAGACGGGGUGGUAGUUGCUUUGUAGUGCUUAGUAGUUUGGUAAUAGCAAUGAAUGGCAACGUGAUAAUAGUUUUAAUGUCCUUGCGGAGGACGCCGGAUUUCUUAUUUUCGCCAUGACAGACUCCCCGGGACCGUCACAACCGGACAACCCGUCCGGGGUGGAACCGGCAUAUCCAGGGGAUUUUGAUGCAGGUCGGUAACCGUUAGCCAACGGGGAUCAGGAAAUACGGAGCGGGUUCAGCAUUGAAAGUAACGGGGGAGAAGCUAGAAUUAUUUUUGUCAAAUAACCGUCGAUUAGUUUAAUAGGAAAAUUUCGGGUAGUAAAUUAGAUGUAGGUCCGAAAAUCAUUUAUUUUAGGCAGUUAGAAACGCGAUCAACUGUGAGUGUCAAACUCGACGUGAGCUGGUUUACUUCCUUAAAUCACGUGUUGAUUACCAGGACUUAUCGCGGGCAACUUGCUUGUUUAAUCACUAUCUUUCCGUCUCCCUUUGGAACUUACCAUCACACUAGGGAAAAAGACCUCGGCAGUCCCAGUGAGUGCAAUGGCCCAACUACAAAACAUGCCAAAUUAAAAAAGAGAGCCUAGCUUUUACCUUGAGGCUUGGGGAGAGAUGUAUACCCAAGGUUAGGGAAUGGAGAGCACGCGGUGGUCGGAACCUCUGGGAGUCCCUCUUGCAACCGUCUUUUUAAAUUUCCCGGGGCGGGUCCGCGUAAUCAAUUUGUUUAAAUUCUCACACCCCAGCUUACAUCCGUUUGAUGCCGGAGAUAGAUAGUAGAGAUACCUAUGCGUAGUACGGGUCCUCUACCCACUUGACUGUUAAAUGAGUUGCCUACCUGCAGAUUAUGUGUGUAGUAUGUUGAAUAAAUAAUUCUAAUGGA